rnacentral:rRNA from 1 species
UACGUAGGUCCCGAGCGUUGUCCGGAUUUAUUGGGCGUAAAGCGAGCGCAGGUGGUUUAUUAAGUCUGGUGUAAAAGGCAGUGGCUCAACCAUUGUAUGCAUUGGAAACUGGUAAACUUGAGUGCAGGAGAGGAGAGUGGAAUCCCAUGUGUAGCGGUGAAAUGCGUAGAUAUAUGGAAGAACACCAGUGGCGAAAGCGGCUCUCUGGUCUGUAACUGACGCUGAGGUUCGAAAGCGUGGGUAGCAAACAGG